GACGAACGCUGGCGGCGUGCUUAACACAUGCAAGUCGAACGGAAAGGCCCUGCUUUUGUGGGGUGCUCGAGUGGCGAACGGGUGAGUAACACGUGAGUAACCUGCCCUUGACUUUGGGAUAACUUCAGGAAACUUGGGCUAAUACCGGCUAGGAGCUCCUGCUGCUUGGUGGGCGUUGGAAAGUUUCGGUGGUUGGGGAUGGACUCGCGGCUUAUCAGCUUGUUGGUGGGGUAGUGGCUUACCAAGGCUUGGACGGGUAGCCGGCCUGAGAGGGUGAGCGGCCAAAUUGGGACUGAGAUAAGGCACAGACCCGUACGGGAGGCAGCAGAGGGGAAUAGUGUACAAUGGGCGGAAGCCUGAUGCAGCAACGCCGCGUGCGGGAUGACGGCCUUGGGGUUGUAAACCGAUGUCGCCUGUGACGAAGCGUGAGUGACGGUAAUGGGUAAAGAAGCACCGGCUAACUACGUG
rnacentral:rRNA from 1 species